rnacentral:rRNA from 1 species
AGGACGAACGCUGGCGGCGUGCUUAACACAUGCAAGUCGAGCGGAAAGGCCCUUCGGGGUACUCGAGCGGCGAACGGGUGAGUAACACGUGAGUAAUCUGCCCCUAGCUCUGGGAUAGCUCCGGGGAACCGGGAUUAAUACCGGAUAAGACCACUUUAGACAUCUGCCGUGGUGGAAAGAAUUUCGGCUAGGGAUGUGCUCGCGGCCUAUCAGCUUGUUGGUGAGGUAACGGCUCACCAAGGCGACGACGGGUAGC